UGUGUCGUAGCUCAACGGUAGAGCACUGCUCUGAUAUGGCAGCGGUUCCAGGUUCGAAUCCUGGCGACACAA
rnacentral:tRNA from 1 species